CAAAGGCAGUGACCUCACAGAAGCUGGUCUUAACCCACCUUCCUGAAGCUCAGGGCAGAUCAGAGCCAGCCAAGAGAGAACUGGGAGGCAAGGGAAGACCAUAGUUGUACUUUGCCUUAGAGGAGCUGUGACUACUACAAAAUUACUGUCCUGGUUGAAUGUGAAAACUGUGUCCCAUCCAUCAUUUCACUGACACUGUCCUACCUCCAAGACCCCAUCCCCUGUGGGAGGUUGGCCCACCCCACAGCAACUGGCGCCCAGGAUCAUGGACUCUUGGCUAGUUAAGAGACAGCACCUUGGAAACAGCAAGAUGGAUUUUUCAUUCCUUCACCCUUUUUUCUUCCUCAAGAUCUUGAGUAAACACCUUAAUUCUUAAAA